GGUGUAGCCAAGCGGUAAGGCACGGGUCUUUGACUCCCGCAUUCGUAGGUUCAAAUCCUGCCACC
rnacentral:tRNA from 1 species